rnacentral:miRNA from 1 species
UUUGGCACGCCCGUGGAAUGCC